GAACGGGUGAGUAACACGUGGGCAAUCUGCCCUUCACUCUGGGACAAGCCCUGGAAACGGGGUCUAAUACCGGAUAACACUCUGUCCCGCAUGGGACGGGGUUGAAAGCUCCGGCGGUGAAGGAUGAGCCCGCGGCCUAUCAGCUUGUUGGUGGGGUGAUGGCCUACCAAGGCGACGACGGGUAGCCGGCCUGAGAGGGCGACCGGCCACACUGGGACUGAGACACGGCCCAGACUCCUACGGGAGGCAGCAGUGGGGAAUAUUGCACAAUGGGCGAAAGCCUGAUGCAGCGACGCCGCGUGAGGGAUGACGGCCUUCGGGUUGUAAACCUCUUUCAGCAGGGAAGAAGCGAGAGUGACGGUACCUGCAGAAGAAGCGCCGGCUAACUACGUGCCAGCAGCCGCGGUAAUACGUAGGGCGCAAGCGUUGUCCGGAAUUAUUGGGCGUAAAGAGCUCGUAGGCGGCUUGUCACGUCGGAUGUGAAAGCCCGGGGCUUAACCCCGGGUCUGCAUUCGAUACGGGCAGGCUAGAGUGUGGUAGGGGAGAUCGGAAUUCCUGGUGUAGCGGUGAAAUGCGCAGAUAUCAGGAGGAACACCGGUGGCGAAGGCGGAUCUCUGGGCCAUACUGACG
rnacentral:rRNA from 1 species